rnacentral:rRNA from 1 species
CAGUAGCCGCGGGAAUACGUAGGUGGCGAGCGUUGUCCGGAAUUAUUGGGCGUAAAGGGAGCGCAGGCGGACAUAUAAGUCCAUCUUAAAAGUGCGGGGCUCAACCCCGUGAGGGGAUGGAAACUGUAUGCCUUGAGUGCAGGAGAGGAAAGCGGAAUUCCCAGUGUAGCGGCGAAAUGCGUAGAUAUUGGGAGGAACACCAGUGGCGAAGGCGGCUUUCUGGACUGUAACUGACGCUGAGGCUCGAAAGCCAGGGGAGCGAACGGGAUUAGAUACCCCUGUAGUCCCUGUCUUUAUACAC